UACGUAGGGUGCAAGCGUUGUCCGGAAUUAUUGGGCGUAAAGAGCUUGUAGGCGGUUUGUCGCGUCUGCUGUGAAAUUUCGGGGCUCAACCCCGAACUUGCAGUGGGUACGGGCAGACUAGAGUGUGGUAGGGGAGACUGGAAUUCCUGGUGUAGCGGUGAAAUGCGUAGAGAUCGGCAGGAACACCCAGGGGGAAACCAGCUGCCUGGGCAAGCGCUGACGCUGAGGUGCGAGAGCGUGGGGAGCGAACCGG
rnacentral:rRNA from 1 species